GGUGAGAGUGGCGAACGGGUGAGUAAUGCGUGACCAACCUGCCCCAUGCUCCAGAAUAGCUCUUGGAAACGGGUGGUAAUGCUGGAUGCUCCAACUUGACGCAUGUCUUGUUGGGAAAGUGUUUAGUGGCAUGGGAUGGGGUCGCGUCCUAUCAGCUUGUAGGCGGGGUAAUGGCCCACCUAGGCUUCGACGGGUAGCCGGCCUGAGAGGGCGGACGGCCACAUUGGGACUGAGAUACGGCCCAGACUCC
rnacentral:rRNA from 1 species